GGUAGCGUGGCCGAGCGGUCUAAGGCGCUGGUUUAAGGCACCAGUCUCUUCGGAGGCGUUGGUUCAAAUCCCACCGCUGCCA
rnacentral:tRNA from 1 species